GGUACGCCAUGAAGCUGUUUUAGAGUAAGUUGUAUUUCAAAGGACAUCUUCAGCUAACAUCUGCACCAAACUGAGGUAACUGGUUUAUCUUGAACUUGAGCACAACUACAGAAGUGCAUCUCCCAUGGUGCUCCAGCUCUCUUUCCAUUUAACAUCUCACCAUCAAAUAUUUCUCCACGCACCCGAGCUAGCUGAUAUUGUACUAACAGGUACAUUGAGGAGACUUCAGGAGGCCUAAACUUUGAGAAAGGAACAUCAGUGAAAAGCAGCAACAGGAGCUGGGAACGGAGGAAUAAUGGGCCAAUCAGAACACUCCUUCAAGCACACGCACGGCAGGAAAUCUGGGAUUGAUACUGUCAACAGCCUGCACACAAAAUAUUGCUUUCUGAGUACUUCCAACUCUUUGAAAAACUUAAGAGCAUGAGGAACUCCCUGUGAUGUACGCUAGUUACUGUAGAGAACUUCAGUAAAACUGUGUGUAUCCCCGUUCAAGUAUACUACUGGAUUUUUGUUGCCAUUUGUAAUAGAGCUGUCCUUUAUAGACCUAAGCAUGGAAGUAUUCUAAUUAACAUGAUGGAACUCUGAGUC